rnacentral:siRNA from 1 species
UUUAUUGGGACUCCUACCCUCAUC